rnacentral:lncRNA from 1 species
CUUUAGAGUUAGAGGCCGAAAGGCAAUUUGAACUAAGCCAAUAUGCAUAUAAUUAUAAUUACGUUUAAAAAUAUCAAUAUCACGCUUAUUUAAGAGUUGAAGAGUCUGUUCAUCAGCAUUUAAAGCAAGAGAUUGUUCCGUUGUCUUAAUAAUCUGUUUAUGUUUUAUUUUAUCAAAAAUUCCAUAUUCAUAAAUUGUUUUUAAUUCAACUUUAGGAAUAGUCCAUUUAUUCAGUAGAUCCAUAUCUUGAGGUAAAUCUACCUCUUCGAGUUUUGUAUUUUUUGUACUUACUUCUCCCAUAUCCAUAGUUGGAAGAGUCUUAUAUCUAUGCUAACAAGCUUC